rnacentral:rRNA from 1 species
GCCUACGGGGGGCAGCAGUAGGGAAUCUUCCACAAUGGGCGAAAGCCUGAUGGAGCAACGCCGCGUGGGUGAAGAAGGUCUUCGGAUCGUAAAACCCUGUUGUUAGAGAAGAAAGUGCGUGAGAGUGACUGUUCACGUUUCGACGGUAUCUAACCAGAAAGCCACGGCUAACUACGUGCCAGCAGCCGCGGUAAUACGUAGGUGGCAAGCGUUAUCCGGAUUUAUUGGGCGUAAAGGGAACGCAGGCGGUCUUUUAAGUCUGAUGUGAAAGCCUUCGGCUUAACCGGAGUAGUGCAUUGGAAACU